rnacentral:rRNA from 1 species
GAUGAACGCUGGCGGCGUGCCUAAUACAUGCAAGUCGAGCGAACUGAUUAGAAGCUCGCUUCUAUGACGUUAGCGGCGGACGGGUGAGUAACACGUGAGCAACCUGCCUGUAAGACUGGGAUAACUUCGGGAAACCGAAGCUAAUACCGGAUAGGAUCUUCUCCUUCAUGGGAGAUGAUUGAAAGAUGGUUUCGGCUAUCACUUACAGAUGGGCCCGCGGUGCAUUAGCUAGUUGGUGAGGUAACGGCUCACCAAGGCAACGAUGCAUAGCCGACCUGAGGGGGUGAUCGGCCACACUGGGACUGAGACACGGCCCAGACUCCUACGGGAGGCAGCAGUAGGGAAUCUUCCGCAAUGGACGAAAGUCUGACGGAGCAACGCCGCGUGAGUGAUGAAGGCUUUCGGGUCGUGAAACUCUGUUGUUAGCGAAGAACAAGUACGAGAGUAACUGCUCGUACCUUGACGGUACCUAACCAGAAAGCCACGGCUAACUACGUGCCAGCCGCCGCGGUAACAC